rnacentral:rRNA from 1 species
GAUGAACGCUGGCGGCGUGCCUAAUACAUGCAAGUCGAGCGAACAGACGGGGAGCUUGCUCCUCUGACGUUAGCGGCGGACGGGUGAGUAACACGUGGAUAACCUACCUAUAAGACUGGGAUAACUUCGGGAAACCGGAGCUAAUACCGGAUAAUAUAUUGAACCGCAUGGUUCAAUAGUGAAAGACGGUUUUGCUGUCACUUAUAGAUGGAUCCGCGCCGCAUUAGCUAGUUGGUAAGGUAACGGCUUACCAAGGCAACGAUGCGUAGCCGACCUGAGAGGGUGAUCGGCCACACUGGAACUGAGACACGGUCCAGACUCCUACGGGAGGCAGCAGUAGGGAAUCUUCCGCAAUGGGCGAAAGCCUGACGGAGCAACGCCGCGUGAGUGAUGAAGGUCUUCGGAUCGUAAAACUCUGUUAUUAGGGAAGAACAAAUGUGUAAGUAACUAUGCACGUCUUGACGGUACCUAAUUAGAAAGCCACGGCUAACUACGUG